UACGUAGGGCGCAAGCGUUGUCCGGAAUUAUUGGGCGUAAAGAGCUCGUAGGCGGUCUGUCGCGUCUGUUGUGAAAACUCGAGGCUCAACCUCGGGCUUGCAGUGGAUACGGGCAGACUAGAGUGCGGUAGGGGGAGACUGGAAUUCCUGGUGUAGCGGUGGAAUGCGCAGAUAUCAGGAGGAACACCGAUGGCGAAGGCAGGUCUCUGGGGACGGUACUGACGCUGAGACGCGAA
rnacentral:rRNA from 1 species